rnacentral:lncRNA from 1 species
AUGCGAUCAGCCAACUCAUUGGAAAAGACCCUGCUGCUGGGAAAGAUUGAAGGCAGAAGGGGAAGACAGAGGAUGAGAUGCUUGGAUGGCAUCACCGAUUCAAUGGACCUAAGUUUGAGCAAGCUCGGGGAGAUGGUGAAGGACAGGGAACACUGGCGUGCUGCAGUCCAUGGGAUAGCAAAAAGUCGGACACGACUUUUUGAGCCACUGAAAAACAACAGACUUUCAGCGCUGCCACACGCGUUUAUCCUCCUCCAUUCACAGAGGAAAGAAAGGGGACCGGCUGACGGCUCGCCGUCAAAUGGCUACUGGAGACCCAGCCCGCAGGAGUGGGGGUGUCUAAGGCGUGUCUUCUUGCUUCCCUACCCACAUUACUACCUCUGUCCUCCGAGCUCAGCAUUAGCAAAAACCCGGAAAAGGGAAGCGUACCUCUCUAGCAAUGGUCUCCCGGCUCCAGACGCAAUCUGGCCCGCCCACUGCGCGGAUUGCGCGUGCGCACGCCCAGCAGCCAGCCGCACCUCGCCAACUCCUACCCGAGCGACCUCGUCCCCGCUUCCGCCUUCACAGUUCAGACACGUCACCCCGCGAGGCCUGGCCUGGUGGGCGCGGCCGGGGCGUUGCUCAGCCGCGGGGCGGGGCUUAGCCGCGGGGCAGAGCUCACUCCUCACUUCCGCAUCCGGUCUGGCCGGGCUUCUCUCGUUUACCUACCGCAGGUGCACCUGCCAGGUGCCUGGGGACUGGUAUGGGAAAAUCGCCCCGUUCGUCAUCCAGGCCGCAAAGUGGAGUCCCUUCCUUGCAGGCGCUUGCUCUCUGGCCGCUGCCACGCAGAAAGGCUGAGUGGGGAAUUCUUGAUCCGAAAUUCUUGAUAAGAAAUGAAGUUUUCCUUCCAUCCUUCCCUGGGCUGUGACCCUCACCUUCCUCCCAAGACAACUAAUAUUUCUGACUCGGCUCUAACAGGAUUUUUCUCCUUUACUCUGGUACAGGUAGCUUUUGCCAACUCUGAUGCGAGGCUGUUUGACAGCCUGGAGUUUGGUUCUUCCACUCUUUUUUUGCCAAAGUUAUUUGGACAGUAUGUUUUUCUGCAAUUCUCAGGACUUCUAUGUCUACUUGCAAAUGAAAUAGAUGAUCUUAGUUGAACCAUGAGUAAUUUUUAAGUCUGUGUUCAGUUCAGUCGCUCAGUCGUUUCCGACUCUUCGAGACCCCAUGAAUCGCAGCACUCCAGGCCUCCCUGUCC